AUUGAACGCUGGCGGCAUGCCUUACACAUGCAAGUCGAACGGUAACAGGUCUUCGGAUGCUGACGAGUGGCGAACGGGUGAGUAAUACAUCGGAACGUGCCUAGUAGUGGGGGAUAACUACUAGAAAGAGUGGCUAAUACCGCAUGAGAUCUACGGAUGAAAGCAGGGGAUCGCAAGACCUUGCGCUACUAGAGCGGCCGAUGGCAGAUUAGGUAGUUGGUGGGAUAAAAGCUUACCAAGCCGACGAUCUGUAGCUGGUCUGAGAGGACGAUCAGCCACACUGGGACUGAGACACGGCCCAGACUCCUACGGGAGGCAGCAGUGGGGAAUUUUGGACAAUGGGCGCAAGCCUGAUCCAGCAAUGCCGCGUGCAGGAUGAAGGCCUUCGGGUUGUAAACUGCUUUUGUACGGAACGAAAAGCCCUGGGUUAAUACCCUGGGGUCAUGACGGUACCGUAAGAAUAAGCACCGGCUAACUACGUGCCAGCCGCCGCUGUAAUAC
rnacentral:rRNA from 1 species